CUACUGCCCAAGCCACACCCUGUAAGAGCCUGGAACCACAUAUCAUCCUAUGGACAACUGGCCUGAAUCUCCUUGGGGACUCCAAGUGGAAGACCUGGGCCUUCCCUGCCCACGGGCAUCGACCAGGGCCCAGCGAGGCCGCUGCCGCGCACACCAGCUGUUUCUCCGACCCGGGCGGACGCCAGCCAGGCUUUGUUUGCAUUGAGUCAACAGGGACUGUGCGUCCGGGACCCGCGGGCAAUGAGGGGCAGGGAGGGGAGCGGACGGUGGAUGGGUGGGUGGGGGCGGCGGGAGGCUGGAGAUGCGAAGCUGGGGACGCCGCGGGGCGGGACAGGGGGCGGACAGCUGUGUCGCCGGCUCGGGGAGUAGGCACACGUCAGCCUAAGGUGGCAGCAGCGGCUUCGGGGAGAGGGGUGUUCCCAGGAGAGGAGGCUGAGGGUGGGGGACUAGGGCCAGGGGAUGGA
rnacentral:lncRNA from 1 species